GAUGAACGCUGGCGGCGUGCUUAAUACAUGCAAGUCGAACGGAGAGAGUAGCAAUACUGUCUUAGUGGCGAACGGGUGAGUAACGCGUUGGUGACCUGCCCCGAAGAGGGGGAUAACAGUUCGAAAGGACUGCUAAUACCCCAUGAUAUCUACCCGGUUAGAGGAGGUAGAUGAAAGGAGAAAUCCGCUUUGGGAGGGGCCUGCGUCCCAUCAGCUAGUUGGUAGGGUAAAGGCCUACCAAGGCAAAGACGGGUAGGGGGCCUGAGAGGGUGACCCCCCACACUGGCACUGAAACACGGGCCAGACACCUACGGGUGGCAGCAGUAGGGAAUAUCGCACAAUGGGCGAAAGCCUGAUGCAGCAACGCCGCGUGCGCGAUGACGGCCUCGGUUGUAAGCGCUUUCGGGUAGGAUGAGGAAGGACGAGUAUCCCCGGAAUAAGGCUCGGCGUAACUACGUAG
rnacentral:rRNA from 1 species